GAUGAACGCUGGCGGCGUGCCUAAUACAUGCAAGUCGAGCGAAUGGAUUAGGAGCUUGCUCUUAUGAAGUUAGCGGCGGACGGGUGAGUAACACGUGGGUAACCUGCCCAUAAGACUGGGAUAACUCCGGGAAACCGGGGCUAAUACCGGAUAACAUUUUGAACCGCAUGGUUCGAAAUUGAAAGGCGGCUUCGGCUGUCACUUAUGGAUGGACCCGCGUCGCAUUAGCUAGUUGGUGAAGUAACGGCUCACCAAGGCAACGAUGCGUAGCCGACCUGAGAGGGUGAUCGGCCACACUGGGACUGAGACACGGCCCAGACUCCUACGGGAGGCAGCAGUAGGGAAUCUUCCGCAAUGGACGAAAGUCUGACGGAGCAACGCCGCGUGAGUGAUGAAGGCUUUCGGGUCGUAAAACUCUGUUGUUAGGGAAGAACAAGUGCUAGUCGAAUAAGCUGGCACCUUGACGGUACCUAACCAGAAAGCCACGGCUAACUACGUGCCAGCCGCCGCCGUAA
rnacentral:rRNA from 1 species